rnacentral:rRNA from 1 species
UACGUAGGGUGCGAGCGUUGCCCGGAUUUAUUGGGCGUAAAGGGCGCGCAGGCGGUACGGCACGUCCGUUGUGAAAUCGCCCGGCUCAACUGGGCGGGGUCAGCGGAUACGGCCGCACUUGAGCAAGCUAGGGGGCAAUGGAAUUCCCGGUGUAGUGGUGGAAUGCGUAGAUAUCGGGAGGAACACCAGUGGCGAAGGCGGUUGCCUGGAGCUUUGCUGACGCUGAUGCGCGAAAGCCAGGGGAGCGAACAGGA